rnacentral:rRNA from 1 species
CACGUAGGGUGCGAGCGUUGUCCGGAAUUAUUGGGCGUAAAGAGCUCGUAGGCGGUGUGUCGCGUCGGCCGUGAAAACCUGCAGCUUAACUGUGGGCUUGCGGUCGAUACGGGCAUCACUGGAGUUCGGCAGGGGAGACUGGGAUUCCUGGUGUAGCGGUGAAAUGCGUAGAUAUCUGGAGGAACACCGGUGGCGAAGGCGGCAUCCUGGACCAACACUGACGCUGAGGGAGCGAAAGCCAGGGGAGCAAACGGG